GUCGAGAAUCUUUCACAAUGGGGGCAACCCUGAUGGAGCGACGCCGCGUGGAGGAUAAGGUCUUCGGAUUGUAAACUCCUGUCAUGCGUGAACAAGGUUGCUUGGUUAAUACCUGGGCAAAUUGAUGGUAACGCAAGAGGAAGAGACGGCUAACUCUGUGCCAGCAGCCGCGGUAAUACAGAGGUCUCAAGCGUUGUUCGGAAUCACUGGGCGUAAAGGGUGCGUAGGUGGCGUGGUAAGUCAGAUGUGAAAGCCCGGGGCUCAACCUCGGAACUGCAUCCGAUACUGGCAUGCUAGAGUACUGGAGAGGUGACUAGAAUUCUCGGUGUAGCGGUGAAAUGCGUAGAUAUCGAGAGGAAUACCAAAGGCGUAGGCAGGUCACUGGACAGUUACUGACACUGGGGCACGAAGGCCAGGGGAGCGAACGGGAUUAGAUACCCCGGUAGUCC
rnacentral:rRNA from 1 species